AGGAGGAGGUAAAGGGGUAGAAAGGUGAGAAGCCAGGAGGGAAAGGAGGCGAGCAGACAAAUGGUGGAGGAGCUUGAUUCCCGCUUGGGAACACAGGUUUUUACCAAAUUUUAGCAAAAAAAAAAAACACACACACACACAGGUUUUAGAGUGCAUGCGUAAUGGUUUUAUAUCAUACACUCUCGUCUUAUCAGUGUGCCUUCCGUAACUCAUCCCUUCCAUGGCUCGUAAAUCUAAUGAACAAAAGAUUUGGUAAAGGCCAAGACUUUAUCAAAGAUCAGAGACUUAAUUACACGCAUGCACAGAGAACUCCCACAAUAACAAGAAGUAAGCACAAACCGGGAAAGGAACGGACUUGGAGAUGACUAGGUCAGAUCUCGCAAAUACAAAACAUCGAUCUAGCACAGAAACCAACUCGGUACGGGAUAUUAAUAUUCCUUUUGUAUUUGAAAAAAUGUCAAUUUAACAUAUUUUUUUUU
rnacentral:lncRNA from 1 species